UGUUAUUUUUGUGGAUCCGGUUGCUGUGAUGCGUCCUCUGGUUCUUGGAGGUGUGUUCUUGGAGGUCAUGACCCUAACCUCAUUCAAUCAAAGGUUUAAAGAGUAGCUCGAGCAGUCAAGUUUUAAUCCAGGUACUACAUUCUAAAGAGAACUGAGUAUGACUAUGACCAACAGGCUAGAUCUGACUUUCAGUUUCCCCGUCGCCUACACUGAUCAGGAAAAAAAGAGGAAGGAGAGUUUAGGCACAGCCAUUUUCUUAUGUAUUGCCUGGGUUGUGCGAGGCCCAUGAAGUUAUAGAGGCAAA